UACGUAGGGGGCGAGCGUUGUCCGGAUUUAUUGGGCGUAAAGAGCUCGUAGGCGGUUCGGUAAGUCGAAUGUGAAAUCUCCACGCUCAACGUGGAGGGGUCAUUCGAAACUGCCGUGACUUGAGUACGGUAGGGGAGUGUGGAAUUCCCGGUGUAGCGGUGAAAUGCGCAGAGAUCGGGAGGAACACCCGUAGCGAAGGCGGCACUCUGGGCCGAUACUGACGCUGAGGAGCGAAAGCGUGGGGAGCAAACAGG
rnacentral:rRNA from 1 species